rnacentral:rRNA from 1 species
AAUCAACGCUGGCGGCGUGCCUCAGACAUGCAAGUCGAACGAUUAAAGCUCUCUUCGGAGAGUGUAUAGAGUGGCGCACGGGUGGGUAACACGUAAGUAAUCUACCCUCGAGUGGGGAAUAACGUCCGGAAACGGACGCUAAUACCGCAUAAUGCAGCGGCACCGCAAGGUGACAGUUGUUAAAGAUUUAUCGCUUGAGGAGGAGCUUGCGGCAGAUUAGCUAGNGGUAAGGUAAUGGCUUACCAAGGCUACGAUCUGUAACCGGUCUAAGAGGACGGUCGGUCACACUGACACUGAAUAACGGGUCAGACUCCUACGGGAGGCAGCAGUCGGGAAUUUUGGGCAAUGGGCGAAAGCCUGACCCAGCAACGCCGCGUGAAGGAUGAAGUAUUUCGGUAUGUAAACUUCGAAAGAAUGGGAAGAAUAAAUGACGGUACCAUUUAUAAGGUCCGGCUAACUACGUGCCAGCAGCCGCAGUAAC